UGCUGUGGCCUAAAUACCCAAAAGACACCAGAUCUUUUCUGAUCAUAGAAGUUAAGCAGGGCCAGCUGUGGUUAGUACUUAGAUGGGAGACUGCCAAGGAAUACCAGUGCCGUAGGCU
rnacentral:rRNA from 1 species